ensembl:lncRNA
GGAGCCUGGAGGGGUGGGAGGAAGGGGCAGUCAGAGGCCAGGUUCUGAGGUCUUGCCUCUUACUAGAAGCUCAGAUUCUCAGAGGCGGUGGAACAGCGGCAGGUGGCACAGCGGGGUGGCUUUGGAGGCUGGGCCCACCCUUCUCAGGGGUGAGACUGGGAUGCUGGAAGCUCUUCUGGGAGUCUCCCCGGAGUAACAAGGCACAGUGGGGGCUGGCUUCGAACUAGCUUAGGAAUGUUUCCAGACCAAAGGACCAAGUUAGUGACCUCCCCAACUUCAUAUUUACUGUGCUUCUGGUGGAGGGGCCUCCGGGAUUCUUGUUGUGCCUGGCAGUGACCCUCCCACCAUGACCCUGUGCCUGGGAGAGAGCCCCACUAUGGCCUGUGCCUGGGAGCAACUCUGGAACACUGAGGGAUCAGCUCUGCAGAAGCGGAAUCAUCCUCAGCCACAUUCUGCGAUUCUGGGAGCAUCAGGGGGGCCUUUUGUUGGGAAGGUUGUUUUGCUUUUGGUCCUUCCUGCCAUUGGCUACAAUGGCGACUCAUGAGUAAGCUGAGAACGGUUAAAAGAAACAAAGACUGGUCCAGUGGCUUUUGCACACCUCCACUCCCCCGACAGACAGUGUCUCUCAAAAGCUUUUCUAAGGACCGCUGAGCGCCCACAUCAGCAUUAGUGAGCAGACCGAGCCAAAAAUGCAGAUCUCAGUCCCAGCCUAGGCCUGGACCAGAAUCUCUAGGGAGAGGGUCUGUAAAUUCGCACUUGAACAGGUUUCCCGUGGCAUUCAGAUGUACAUUUAUGCAGGGAUCCUCAAACUUGCCGCUCAGCAGAACCACCUGGAGAGUUUCUAACAACCCGACACCAGGCUGGGCCUGUGCCAGUGACUGUCAGGGUGGAACCAGGCCUCGGGACUUUUGAAAUGCCCCAGGCGAUUCCCAGGUGCAGCCAAGGUUGAGAUCAGUGCUCUGCCUUCAGUGCUUCUCAAAUUUAUGUGCAUGCAGAUCACCUGCAGGUCCGGAUAAAAUGCAGACUCCUGCUCAGUAAGUCUGGGUGGGGCCCAAGAGUCAUUCCUGUUAUGGAGCUCCCAGGCCUGCUGCUUCUGGGGUUUGCAGACCCCACGUGGAGCAUCAGGGCCCUCACCGGCUGACCCACUGCUUCAGACAGCAAGCUGUUCAAAGACAACUCCAUGCUGGGAGCUGAUUAUGAUACCACAGGCUGUUUUCUUUGGAAGGAAGUCGCAAUGAGCAGCCCUCUCUUAAGGAAUAGAGGGGUAUACAGAGGAGAAAAUGAUAUGAUGACAGAGCAAAGAGAGAUUUGCAGAUGCUGGCCUCGAAGAUUAUAGAAAAGUGACCACAAGCCAAGGGUUACUGGCAGCCACCAAAAGCUGGAUCAGGCUGUCUUCUAGAGACUCUGGACAGAGGGUGGCCCUACGACACCUUGAUUCCAGCCCAGUGAUAUUGAUUGCGGACUUCUGGCUUCCAGAACUGUAAGAGAACACAUUUUUGUUUCUCCAAGCCACCCAGUUUGUAUAAUUUGUUGCAACAGCCACUGGAAACUAUUAAUCAUUUAUUUACAUUGAUAUGAACACAUGAAUAUUUUAUUUGUAUUAUGGGUUAUAAUCCAAUGUUACUUGUUUUAUUGCUUAAAUCAUUCAAGUUUUGGAUAUUGGGAUCUCUUCCAUUUGGCUUCUGGGCCUCUUUGGCGUACCCCGUUGUCUUAGUCCAUUCGAGACGCUAUAACAAAACUACUGUGGACUGGGCGACUUACACAGCAAGCAUUUCUUUCUGACAGUUCUGGAGGCUGGAAGUCCAAGACCAAGGUGUGGGCGGCUUUGGUGUCUGAUGAGGGUCUGCUUCCAAUGCAUCGAAGGUCGUUGUCUCACUGUAUCUUCACAUGAUGGAAAGAGCGUGAGACAACUCCCUGGGGUCUCUUUUAUAGGGCACCGAUCCCAUUUGUGACAGCUCCAUCCUUACGCCCUAAUCACUUCCCAAAACCUCUACCUCCUAAGACCAUCAAACUGAGGGUAGUAUUUCAAUAUGUGAAUUUUGGGGGGACACAAACAUUCAGUGUAUAACAUCCAUCAAUGUGGAUUUUGUUGAGCACUUCCUUCCUUUGGGGGACUGCAAGAUGCUUCAGGUUGAUCUCGUGCAUAUCCUCUUCCAUAGAAUCAUCCAUUUCUCCAAGGAGCCCUGGUUCCUUUUAAUGGUUUAUGAUAUUGGAAAUAAAGACUCAGGGGCUAGGUGUCCUUAUUGCUCCUAGAGUGUCAUUUCUUUUAGCCCCUCCAGCUGACAGAGCAAGGAAAAUAUGUAUGUGUAGUAACCUAUGUGUAUACACAUUUCCACUAAUACUUCUGUAUGUAAACGUAUGUAUCUAUAUUAGACUAAACAUGUGUUCUUACUGAUGUGAAACGCUGAUCCAUUACUUCACAAAUCAUUCUCCCUCCUCCCCUUCUUACCUGAAAAUUCCCUCUCUCACAGGGAGAAGCCAAGUUCCCACCUUUAUCAUUUGUUUGCUUAAUCAUUCAGUUCCGCUAUACAGGUGUAGCAUUAUCUGAACUGUUCAUGAGCAUCCUUGUGGGACACAACUCUAUCAAGUAGAGCACAGUGCUUAUGUGCAAGGUCUUUGCCUACAGUCUUACAGAAUCCAUUCGUUCCCAAAGUUGCUUAUGACAGCACAUCCACACCCGCCUUCAGUGAGGUUGUUUCCUAUAUUUGUAAUGCAAAUAGAUUCUCUUGUCACAGUCUGGAUUCCUUCCUAGGCUCUCUAAGACUUGUUUUUAAUUUGCACACAUUAAGGACCACUCUUUGUGCUCUAAAAUUCUAUGCUGCAAAUGCGUCUAUUAUAGUAUCAUGUGGAAUACUUUGACACCCUAAAAACCCCCUGUGUUUCAUUUAUUCAAUCUUCUCCCCUUCCCAAUACCCUAGCAACCACUGACUUUUUUUCUAUCUCUACAGUUUUGUCUUUUCCAGAACAUCAUAUAAUUGGGAUCAUACAGUAUGGAGUCUUUUCUUACUGACUUCUUUCACUUCGCAAUA